UACAGAGGGUGCAAGCGUUGUUCGGAAUUAUUGGGCGUAAAGCGCGUGUAGGCGGCUUUGCAAGUCGGGUGUGAAAUCCCGGGGCUCAACCCCGGGACUGCAUUCGAUACUGUCAGGCUAGAGGUAGGUAGGGGAGAUCGGAAUUCCUGGUGUAGCGGUGAAAUGCGCAGAUAUCAGGAGGAACACCGGUGGCGAAGGCGGAUCUCUGGGCCUUACCUGACGCUCAGGCGCGAAAGCUAGGGGAGCGAACAGG
rnacentral:rRNA from 1 species